GGUUGCGAUCAUACCUGCACUAAUGCACCGGAUCCCAUCAGAACUCCGUAGUUAAGCGUGUUUGGGCGAGAGUAGUACUAGGAUGGGUGACCCCCUGGGAAGUCCUCGUGUUGCAACCC
rnacentral:rRNA from 1 species